GCGGCGGCGGCCCAGGCAAGACACGCCUUUCCCCGCCCUCUCCCGCCCUCCCUCCUGAGGGACGGUGGAGCCCGGGCGGACCCGGCGGGGAGCGGGGGGGGGGAAACCUGAGGGAAGCUAUGGAAAAUAGCGUUGGUCAUCCCAGCUCUUCACAGGAUUUGGUUCCACCCGCUCAGCAGGAUUAUCCUUCGCUAGGAAUACUGUUCUGCGUAUAUGGAAAUAGCAACAAUUGAAGCAUAAAUGAUGCCUUUCCAGUCUAGUGUGAAUGGAAGAGUCUCAGCAUCUUCUGCAGGGAAACACUCAGCUACAGCUUUUGAACUGCUGAAGAAAGGAAGAUGGGGAGACUAGGCAGUGAGUCCAGACCUUUUGGAGGAGACCAUGGAUUUGCUUGGGAAAGUUUCAUUAAGAUGGCAGUACUAAUCCACCACAAUCCCUGAGCUCUGACAGGAUAAAUAAUCAAGAAAUGUGAAGAUGAGAUUUCCCCCACUUCCCAGUUUUGGAAAUAAUCCA